rnacentral:rRNA from 1 species
GACGAACGCUGGCGGCGUGCUUAACACAUGCAAGUCGAACGGAAAGGCCCUGCUUUUGUGGGGUGCUCGAGUGGCGAACGGGUGAGUAACACGUGAGUAACCUGCCCUUGACUUUGGGAUAACUUCAGGAAACUGGGGCUAAUACCGGAUAGGAGCUCCUGCUGCAUGGUGGGGGUUGGAAAGUUUCGGCGGUUGGGGAUGGACUCGCGGCUUAUCAGCUUGUUGGUGGGGUAGUGGCUUACCAAGGCUUUGACGGGUAGCCGGCCUGAGAGGGUGACCGGCCACAUUGGGACUGAGAUACGGACCAGACGCCUACGGGAGGCAGCAGUGGAGAGUAUUGCACAAUGGGCGGAAGCCUGAUGCAGCAACGCCGCGUGCGGGAUGACGGCCUUCGGGUUGUAAACCGCUGUCGCCUGUGACGAAGCGUGAGUGACGGUAAUGGGUAAAGAAGCACCGGCUAACUACGUG